AGAAGAACCUGGCAGGGGAGAUACCAGGCUCACGAAGGUGGUUUUCCCGGGAUGAGGCUGGCCCAUCGCACUCCAGAUGUGCCGAUUCCUGCCAUUUCCCCAAAUGUGGGAAACUCAACCGCAUCGUUUGUGGUAGUGGGGGACUGUGUUCGUAUUCUCCUGUG
rnacentral:snRNA from 1 species